rnacentral:rRNA from 1 species
UACGAAGGGGGCUAGCGUUGCUCGGAAUCACUGGGCGUAAAGGGCGCGUAGGCGGCGUUUUAAGUCGGGGGUGAAAUCCUGGAGCUCAACUCCAGAACUGCCUUCGAUACUGGGAGUCUCGAGUCCGGGAGAGGUGAGUGGAACUGCGAGUGUAGAGGUGAAAUUCGUAGAUAUUCGCAAGAACACCAGUGGCGAAGGCGGCUCACUGGCCCGGUACUAACGCUGAGGUGCGAAAGCGUGGGGAGCAAACAGG